CAGGGCAACACAUGUCACGUGUCGGGCGGAAAGCUGCGUACAGUUGCUGCUGGACGUCCGAGCCGCGCCCGAGCUGGUGUCCAGCGGCGGCGCCACGGCCCGGGUCGGCGACCCAGUCACCGUCAGCUGCUCGUUCCGCGCCAGCCCGCCGCCCACCAUCGGCUGGACGGCCGGCAAGCGGCCCAUCAAGGACACCACGCCCAGGCACCAGCUCAGCGUGCGGAACGUGUCGAGCACGGAACUGGAGAGCCUGCUGACCAUCACCAAC